rnacentral:rRNA from 1 species
GAGUCAUUGGGACUCAGUUAAACCUAAAGGCGCAAUGAAAGUAAAGGUCCGCCUCGCGCGGACCGAGGGAGGAUGGGCCCGUCCACGGGCGGGCCCCGCACUCCCGGGGCGUCUCGUUCUCAUCGCGAGAAGAGGCGCACCCAGAGCGUACACGCUGGGACCCGAAAGAUGGUGAACUAUGCCUGGUCAGGACGAAGUCAGGGGAAACCCUGAUGGAGGUCCGUAGCGAUUCUGACGUGCAAAUCGAUCGUCGGAACUGGGUAUAGG